rnacentral:rRNA from 1 species
GACGAACGCUGGCGGCGUGCUUAACACAUGCAAGUCGUACGGUAAAGCCCUUUCGGGGGUACACGAGUGGCGAACGGGUGAGUAACACGUGAGUAACCUGCCCACAACUUUGGGAUAACGCUAGGAAACUGGUGCUAAUACUGGAUAUGUGCUCCUGCUGCAUGGUGGGGGUUGGAAAGCUCCGGCGGUUGUGGAUGGACUCGCGGCCUAUCAGCUUGUUGGUGGGGUAGUGGCCUACCAAGGCGGCGACGGGUAGCCGGCCUGAGAGGGUGACCGGCCACAUUGGGACUGAGAUACGGCCCAGACUCCUACGGGAGGCAGCAGUGGGGAAUAUUGCACAAUGGGCGCAAGCCUGAUGCAGCAACGCCGCGUGCGGGAUGACGGCCUUCGGGUUGUAAACCGCUUUCAGCAGGGACGAAGCUUUUUGUGACGGUACCUGCAGAAGAAGCACCGGCUAACUACGUG